UUCUCACACUGGGAUCACAACAAGUCAGUGAUGUUACCCACUGUCUGCAGGCUCUUUAUUUUAUUCUUCCAAAAACAAUAUAUUGUAAGCAAAGGUACAUUUAGUUAGUAAGCAACUUUCUAACAGACAUAUGAUUUUUUACAAAAGAGUGAAAAGGGUUCUCUGUUUUGUUUUCCUGUCAUGUUUUUUGUUUCUAGAUUAAUGACCAGUCAUUUCCUCUGAUGCAGCUGAGAGCAGUCAGUUGUAGUGUUUGCAGAGAAUAUAUGAUGGGAUGUAAAGCCUUAGAUCAGUCAGGACUCUGAAGCUGACUAACUCAAAGAACAAACACUUAUUUUAAACUUGAUCCAAAACUUUUGGAUUGUGCUCAUACCUACAGGAUCAAUGGCAGGCUAAUCACGAGAAGAACUUGACUCCGGUGUGGAACAGGAAGUGAAGCCAGACAGAGAGGCUCCAGUUUCCUUCUCACCGUAACACACACCUGAAUCUUCAGACAGGUCCACGAGGGAAAGAUGCAUUUUGCAGUGAAAAUCUGAUCGGAGCAUAUUCCAAACAGCAAAGAAAACAAGAACUGGUGAAACAGGUUUUGGAUAACACACCUCUCGCUGCUAUGCUGGCUAACGUUGUUGUUGUAAACAGGAAGUCAGCUGUGCUCUGUGUGAGCUCCUGAUGAUGAGUCCACGCAGCCAGCAGUGUUUGUCUGAUCUGAUACUGCAGAGUUUUACAAAGGAAAGUGACUUCAUGUCUCGUCCACAGAACCGUGUGCAGCGUGAGGAUAGAGACACACGGUGAAUUGUAAAUUGUUUGCAAAGUAGAACAUGUGUUUAGAAUUUGAGACUGGAACUGAGGUUUGUCUCACUGUCCGUUUCAAUCAUUGAGAUGUGUCAUCAAUUAAAAACCAAAAAAUGAUAGUCUAUUUUUACUGCCUUAGUUUCACAACAAUUGGGAAUGUGACGGCAUCAACAGCAUGUCGGCCAUCUUUGGAGGAUACCAGCGAAUUCAACCAUAAGACUAAUUAUUACAGCGAGCUAAACAGCGAUAACCCUUUUAACUAUACCUGUGAAAAGAUGUUUAAAAUGUGAGCAUAAAGGAUGUGUUUGUGAUGUAAAGAAGUCUAUUUUACCGCCUUAGGCUUGUAACCCUUUAAAAUAAGGCAUGUAUAAUUACAAACAUGAUGUAAAUGUCUAACACUUGACCAUUUCAACCAAAAGAGUUAUUUUCUUUUCUUUAUUUUGAUAUUAAGGAGCCCAAAGAGUAAUAUUAUCCAGUAUUCCACAAGAAAAACAGCAAAUAUUAGAUACAAAUCCUAAUUUGUGUGCAACGGAUGACUUCCUUUUUUAAUAAUUAUCUCACAGCUCCUCCAACGUUAUCAUAAUGCGACCUGUUGGGGACCCGACCCCCCAUGUUGGAAAUCACUGCUUAUCACUGGAGCGGCACGUUGCCCCUUGAAUGUUCCAGAAUGUCCCUUCUAAAAUAUUUAAGUGCUUUAUAUAUAACCAUUUUCAUAUCAUGUAAAUCUAAAUGAUCUGAAGCUUUAUAGGUGGAGGGUGGGUGUUACAAAACGAUUAUGCAUUCUACAUUUUACAUAACGUUACCUGAUGAAACGUAUAUUAAAGAGACUGUUUUUAAAUGAAA